GGAAGUUCCGGUCAGGCGCGCAUCAUUCUUCAUAACGAAGAAAGCGCCAGAAUUGUGCAGUAGAGACGAUUACUUUAGUCUCCGUUUCAAAUUGAUUGCUACAGUGAGUGAAGAACGCAGUCAAACACGAGCUGAAUGUCAACAUUAAAGAUGAAGAAGAGGAGAAGAUUGGGAAAUCUGUUUCUCAUGGUCAUGUUGAGACAUGCUCUACAUCCAGAGAGCAACAGCAGGAAGAUCAGAGCUAAGAGGUCUCACCACUGCCCACAUUGUGAGGAGAUUUUCCCAAUUCUAUCAAAACUAGAAAUGCACCUAAAAAUACACACAAGAGAUCAUCUGUAUUCCUGUACUGACUGUGGGAAAAGAUUCAAAACAUCACAUUCUCUGACAGUUCAUCCGAGUGCACACAGGAGAGAAGCCUUACUCCUGCUCUGACUGUGGGGGGGAGAUUCUUGACGGAGCCACUUAAAAAGACACCAACAUAUACAAACAGGAGAGAAGCCUUACUUCUGCUCUGACUGUGGGAAGAGUUUCUCCCUAUUAGAUAACUUAAAAGCACAUGCACGUAUACAUACAGGAGAAAAGCCUUACUCUUGCUCUGACUGUGGGAAGAGGUUCUCUCAAUGGAGCAACUUAAAAAUACACCAACGUUUACAUACAGGAGAAAAGCCUUAUUCCUGCUCGGACUGUGAAAAGAGUUUCUCCCAAUUGGAUAAGUUAAAUAGUCACCAGCGAAUACAUACAGGAGAGAAGCCUUACUUCUGCUCUGACUGUGGGACUUGUUUCAGCCAAAUUGAUACCUUAAAAUGUCACCAACGAAUACAUAUAGGAGAGAAGCCUUACUCUUGCUCUGACUGUGGGCAGAGCUUCUCUCAACACAGCAGCUUAAAGGAACACCAACGUAUACACACAGGAGAGAAGCCUUACUCCUGCUCUGAAUGUGGGAUGAGUUUCUCUCCACAGGACAGCUUGAAAACCACACCAAAGUAUACACACAGGAGAGAAGCCUUACUUCUGCUCUGACUGUGGAAAGAAUUUCUCUCGACACAGCAGCUUAAAGAAACACCAACGUAUACACACAGGAGAGAAGCCUUACUCCUGCUUUGAAUGUGGGAAGAGUUUUACAACAUCAAGUGCUCUGACAGUUCAUCAGGGAGUGCACACAGGAGAGAAGCCAUACUCCUGCUCUGACUGUGGGGUAGUUACUAUCGACUGGGAAACUUAGAAACACACCAUCGUACACAUACGGGAGAGAAGCCUUACUCUUGUUCUGACUGUGGUAAAUGCUUCACAACAUCAAGUGCUCUGACAGUUCAUCAGAAAACACACACAGGAGAGAAGCACACCAACGCAUACACACAAGCCAAGACUUUUGCAGAUUAAAAUCUUACGUUUUCGGUGGAUUGGCAAUGGACCCAUUUUAAAGUAUCCUUUUUUGGUAACAAAAGGAGAGAAGCUUCAUCAGUUCUCUCAGACCAGCAAAGAUUAAAGUCACUCCAUCACUUAAUUCUCAUUAAAGAAGUGGUAAGUGAAUUGGAUCAAAUGAAGAAAGUGUAGAACACUACUGUAAUCCUAUUGUUUCUCACUGUGAGAGAACUGUGCAGAGGAAAAGGAGCAUUACAGAAUGUUAGCCUCUCUUUACUGAUCAGUGUGCAUCUUGUCAGUUUUGGUGUGUUUUGUUAGCUUCUACUGCAAAGAUAUUGAGAUGUCCUUGGAUUGGCCCUUAGUGUUGAAUAUCCUCUUAGGUUUCUCUUGUUGAAACUAUGUAGUCUGAUGGUUGACUGGAUGGUACUGCUUCCCUCUGUAGUUUUCUGUGGGAAUGCGCUAGUAGACACAGCAUGUAUGAGAUAGAGAUGGUGUGAUGAUCAGUUUUCAGCAUAUAUAUGCCUUACUCCUUGUUUUUCUAUUGGUAACCCAACAGAAAAACAAGUAAAAAUAAAUUAAAUGCAGCUAGUUGGCUGUUAUUCUAGCUACACGGUUUCACGUGACUGUUAGCCGUAGUUGGCUAGCUAGCAAGCAAGCAAGGGAUAAGAAACGACUUGGUCGCAUCCGUAGAUACAGAAUAAUAAUACUUUGACUGGAUCGAGUCUCUGGCAACCUAUCCAAUAGAAUGAACGGACAUCUUUUCUCAGCCAAUCAAAAUCAUGAAUCAGCGUGAUUUUAUGGAUAUAUACAAAGAAAUGUUGAUAGAAAAACAGGUAAAACGACAUGAAAUGCAGCUAGUUUGCUGUGUUACCAGCGUCAGUUUGAAAUAAUUGUGUUUGCUGUGUAGAUGGCUAGCUUCUCUGAACAGUGUCCUGACUAGCUUCUUUGAACAGUGUCCUGACCAGAGAGCACAUUUUCUAUGCCAUGUGAAAUCCAAAACAGCUUAAACAAAUGCAGAUGCAGCUACUUUGCUGUUAUUCUAGCUGCACUGUUUGACCUGUU